rnacentral:rRNA from 1 species
GGGGAAUAUUGCACAAUGGGCGAAAGCCUGAUGCAGCAACGCCGCGUGAGCGAUGAAGGCCUUUGGGUCGUAAAGCUCUGUCCUUGGGGAAGAAAAAAAUGACGGUACCCUUGGAGGAAGCCCCGGCUAACUACGUGCCAGCAGCCGCGGUAAUACGUAGGGGGCAAGCGUUAUCCGGAAUUAUUGGGCGUAAAGAGUGCGUAGGUGGUUUUGUAAGCGCGGGGUGAAAGGCAAUAGCUCAACUAUUGUAAGCCCUGCGAACUGUGAGACUUGAGUGCAGGAGAGGAAAGUGGAAUUCCUAGUGUAGCGGUGAAAUGCGUAGAUAUUAGGAGGAACACCAGUGGCGAAGGCGACUUUCUGGACUGUAACUGACACUGAGGCACGAAAGCGUGGGGAGCAAAC